rnacentral:rRNA from 1 species
UACGUAGGUGGCAAGCGUUGUCCGGAAUUAUUGGGCGUAAAGCGCGCGCAGGCGGUCCUUUAAGUCUGAUGUGAAAGCCCACGGCUCAACCGUGGAGGGUCAUUGGAAACUGGGGGACUUGAGUGCAGGAGAGAAGAGUGGAAUUCCACGUGUAGCGGUGAAAUGCGUAGAGAUGUGGAGGAACACCAGUGGCGAAGGCGGCUCACUGGUCCGGUACUGACGCUGAGGUGCGAAAGCGUGGGGAGCAAACAGG